rnacentral:tRNA from 1 species
CGCGGGGUGGAGCAGCUUGGUAGCUCGUCGGGCUCAUAACCCGAAGGUCGUCGGUUCGGUUCCGGCCCCCGCUA